rnacentral:rRNA from 1 species
UACGUAGGGUGCAAGCGUUGUCCGGAAUUAUUGGGCGUAAAGAGCUCGUAAGCGGUCUGUCGCGUCGAAUGUGAAAAAUCCGGGGGCUCAACCCCCGGACCUGCAUUCGAUACGGGCAGACUAGAGUUCGGUAGGGGAGUCUGGAAUUCCUGGUGUAGCGGUGAAAUGCGCAGAUAUCAGGAGGAACACCGGUGGCGAAGGCGGGACUCUGGGCCGAUACUGACGCUGAGGAGCGAAAGCGUGGGGAGCAAACAGG